ACGGCAGUGAUCAAGCGGUACGAUUCCACCCUCCCAAGGUGGCUGCCCGGGUUCGAAUCCCGGCUGCCGUA
rnacentral:tRNA from 2 species